AACACCAUGUGCAUCCGCCUUCUCUCCUCGAUCCUCGCGUUAGCCCAGGCCGAGCUAUUCCCCCUCGCCGCCGGGGCCGCACCUCAGCCCGCUCGCCGCCCCGUGGCAACUCAACCCCCCAAAUGGAUGCCGCUCAACUAUCUCAUCCAAUAGGACGCCGGCCACGACGUCACGAAGUUGCUGACGUCGCCAAGAAACGGCUGCCUCCGUUGCCGCCCUUCAGCGGCCACCUCGCUGCCGCUCCAAUGCCCACCAUGAGGCAUUGCGGAGGAAGGUGAGCAAGUAGCAGCACUUCGAGGAAGCCAUCAUCAACCUCGCCGCCGCGCUCCACGACCGCUAUGAAGGCGCCUCACCCGCCCUCCGCUAGUCGAUGGCUGUGGAAAGCUGGAAAUUUGCCUGUCCUAUCAAGAUGAGAAUCAACAACAUAAAGUUCUAGAAGGAUUCAAGGACAGGAAAGAUAUCUCCUUUUAUUAUCCAAUUGAUUGAAGAAGUUGGCUUCUCGCCGGCAUAUGAUUUCUUGUACUACAGGAAGAAAUACCCACGUGGCAGAGGCUAUUCUGACAUUGCUUCUGACCAUGAAAUAUGAUUUCUUGUACUACAGGAAGAAAUACCCGCGUGGCAGAGGCUAUUCUGACAUUUCUUCUGACCAUGAAAUAUGAUUUCUUAUACUACAUGACGAAAUACCCGCGUGGCAGAGGCUAUUCUGACAUUGCUUCUGACCAUGAAAUAUUUUGUGUUCAGUUUUCCUGUGAAAGUUAGCAUAGGAAUACAUAAUGUUUCUUCAGAAUGACAGAGCACCAAAUCGAGGUGGUAGGUUGCCAUCAAAUUCCACGGAAUAAAACUGACUUGUGGAUGUGAUUAGUCUCUUACCAGAGUGCAAGUUUAUUCUUUGAUGAAAAAGGUCAGCGUUUGGGAUGCACUGCAUAGCAAGGAUAUGAUGUAGGUUGUAUAGCUAUUCUGUGGACUGACGUGAGGUUGGGGUGCUCGUGCUUGCUUGGUCGGAAGCUUUUCUUUUGACUCGAUUGAUGAAUGAUGAGCACGAGGGCAUCUCUGCACUAGUUACGCCGUAUAUGUACUCCACUACAUAUAGAUAGCUCGCUCAUCGUGUCUUGACAGAAGAAGAACAACUUUGAUCGAUGGAGAUGGAUAUGUUUCUUGUUGGUGCGGUCAGAUUCGUGCCUCGUAUCUUCUCUUGUGUUGCUGCUUGCUUAGGAGUACUAUAUGCCCCGGGACCGCAUCUGCGGGUGCCGUCCAGCAUCCGCGUGCGUGUGCGGUGUGCAGCCUGCCUCGUUCUAAUUUGCCGUGACCGACGCCGGACUGGUGCAUGCUGUCUGCGCCUUAUGCUGGAUUUUGGGACCUAGCUUGCCAUUUCUAGCUCUAGCAGUUUGAAUUUGCGACUCCGUAGUAGAUUGCACGAGUCCCAUGACCCAUCUGGGCCGAGGAUCCAGCCUCAUAUGGGGAUUCCAUGGUUAAUUUCUGCCUGUAGCGAGAUUUCUGCAUCAUCCGUUGUAAAUAUUUAGUUAGGUUGAUGGAAAAAACAAGAUUGUUAUGUUACUCAUCUUUCGAUUUAAAUUUGCAGUUUUUUCAUCGCUGCGAGGGUCAAGUUUUUGACAACCUCCGUCCCUGCGUUCACGGCUUGGCAAGAUGACUGAUCAUUCAUGGAUGUACACCGGUCACACUAGUCGGAAAGACAUGACCAUCGAAUGGUUAACAAAAACCAAGGGGUUUCUAAGAGCCGCAUUUGCAAAUGGCCAUAGGACAACGUGGUGCCCCUGUGCCGGGUGCAACAAUUGGCACAAGAGGACAGAGGAUGGAAUGGGCAAACACUUGCAGAAGAGGGGUUUUACGCCAGAUUAUACGGUGUGGACAUUUCAUGGCAAGUCUGCCCAACGUGCCAUAGCUGAGGUGCUUCGUCGUCGCACCUACGAGUAUGGUACCGGGAUGGAAGACAUGGUAAAAGACUUUGAUGAUGCUCGGGACUCGGACGAUGAGAUGGAGGAAUCUGCAAAGGAC